ACUGUGUGAUUUUUGUUCUUUAGUAGAAGGAUAACAUGACAUAGCAGGAAUAAUACUGCCUUUUCUUUCUGGCAUGGAUCAAGAGAAAAGAAAAUACAAGAAAACAGACAGAAGAUCCUAUCUGCGACAAUUAAGAGCACUCUAAGAGGAAAACACAUCCCACCACACAAGGCAAGGUACUUCUAUGGAAGGGUGAGCCCUCACAGAUGGAGCAAUGGGGCGCGCACACCUGAACAAGGGAGGGGAAGGAGUUCUUAUCCCUGAUGCAUGUGACCCCUGCUGCUGUGUCCUUCCCCUAUUGGCUAAGGUUAGACCACACAGCCUAAACUAAUUCCGAUUGGCUAAUUCAAAGAGAGCGACGGGGGCUUCUGACAGCUUUGGAGAUUGUGACAUUGGAAUAAAGGAAAAACGUACAGGACUCAUGAAGCGCUGAAAUGUUCACAAAUAUCAAGCAAAAGUCAAUGAAAUUUAUUUUGAGCUAUUUACAUCAUUUAAUAAUUGAGCAAGGUAUACUCCUAUGAACAAAAUUUGGAGCAUGUUUGUCUCUCUCUGCCUGGCGUCUUCAGAAUUUGGAAACUAGUUAGUCAUGGAAAUUUAUUUUGAGCUAUUUACAGCAUUUAAUAAUUGAGCAAGGUAUACUCCUAUGAACAAAAUUUGGAGCAUGUUUGUCUCUCUCUGUCUGCCUGGCAUCUACAGAAUUUGGAAACUAGUUUCGUUCCCAGAUUUCCUAAACUUUCCAGAGAAAAUGGUCUUCUCCCUGGCUCAGCAAGAAGAUGAACUUUAAACACUGAGAAACUGGUCAUCUCCCUGGCUCAACCAGAAGAUGAACUUUAAACACUACUCUCAAUGACUUGAUGUUCCCAUCACUACUCCUGUCAUAAAGGGAGGGGACUCAGAUAUUGAGAAUUUUAUGAUAGUGUGAACUGUCUGGUAUGUCAUUUAAGUAAGCCCGUUGCUGAAAUAUUUUCCAUGUUAUUAGAAAGAGCUGAAGAGAGGGAUUGAGAUGGCUUCUUUAUUUUUUGUCUUUUGGGAAUUAAAGGAACCUGGUUCAACAAGGGCCUACACCUAAGUCUCUUGUUGUACCAGAGUACAAUUUAGGACUGCUCCUGAGGAAGGAAUUAGCUAGAAAUCUAGAGAGUAAGGGUAACAGAUUUACAUAGAAUAACAGCCUCAGUAUUUUUGGUUCCUCUCCAGUAAAGAUCACAAAGAAUAUUGCUAAAUCGCUAAAACACCUUUGCAAUAACGUAAGGGCUUACAACUAUAUACCAAUGUAGCUCAGUUACUAAACUGGAGUAAACUAAUUUCUCUUGUGUAGAAAAAUUGGUUGGCUGUGGUUUUAUAGCAGAUCUGCAAUUAUUAAUAGUUAUGCCAAUAAUCGUUUAACAGUGCAUAUGUUAAUAUAUAUGGAAAGACAAUGUGUAUAGACAGAUGUGUAAAAUUGAAAAAUAAACAUAUAACAAGAGAGAAACAUCUAUCGAACAGACAAUAUACAUACACAUCAAACACAACAGCAGUUUUAGUGACCAUAAUAUUUAUUUCUCAUUUUUACAUUGCUUACUUUAGUGACAACUGAAAAUGACAGUUGGCAAUGCAGCUAACAGUUUCAAUAAAAGUAUAAAACAAAAGACUGUGUACAAAGCACCUGUCUUUCCGCUUUUGUAAUCUUCCGUUGGAAAAAAUUUACACACCUAAGUAACCAUCUGUUUUCUUCAAGAAAAAAUCAUUCUUAUUUCUCUCUCUCAUCUUGAAAACAGCUGUCAGCCAGGAGGGCAGAGCUGAAAUUUAUUGCCACAUCACAUGAAGCAUAGAACAGACUCCACUACUCCUUGAGAUUCAAAACUUUGCCUCUCACAAAGUUACCUUUUAUUUUCCUCUUGUUUGUCACUCAUCUCCCCUAGUGUGCUCUUUUUAUUUCUUUUACUAUUAAUAAUAAAAUCUGUGGAUGACUGUAUUAUU
rnacentral:lncRNA from 10 species